GAUGAACGCUGGCGGUAUGCUUAACACAUGCAAGUCGAACGGUCACUUCGGUGAUAGUGGCGGACGGGUGGGUAACGCGUGAGAAUCUGUCUUCAGGUCGGGGACAACAGUUAGAAAUGACUGCUAAUACCGGAUGUGCCUUUGGGUGAAAGAUUUAUUGCCUGAAAAAGAGCUCGCGUCAGAUUAGCUAGUAGGUGGUGUAAGAGACUACCUAGGCUCCGAUCUGUAGCUGGUCUGAGAGGACGAUCAGCCACACUGGGACUGAGACACGGUCCAGACUCCUACGGGAGGCAGCAGUGGGGAAUUUUCCGCAAUGGGCGAAAGCCUGACGGAGCAAUACCGCGUGAGGGACGAAGGCUUUUGGGUCGUAAACCUCUUUUCUCAAGGAAGAUGAUGACGGUACUUGAGGAAUAAGCAUCGGCUAACUCUGUG
rnacentral:rRNA from 1 species